rnacentral:lncRNA from 1 species
AGAGCACAGUCUUGUUAAGUGUAGCAGCUUGUUUACUUAUCCUGAUACUGUCCUGUACAUAUUACAUUAAUUAAAGUAGUGCUGUAGUCAGAUAGGACAGCAUUCUCUGCUGAAAUGUCUUGCCUUUUGUGGAACGACAUUGAUGAAUUGUAUUUCUGUGUAUGAUCAGUGAUGUGAGGAACUGAAAUAAAUGCCUGUCCUUCUCUUUCACAUAUAGUGCAAAAUGGAUGAAAAAUCCUCCCUCUCUCCCGAGUCUCCUGGCCCUGAUGACUGAGGGAAGUGUGCUGCCCAAAAUACACAUCAGUCAGCCCCAGAACACAUUGUCUGAGAGUCCUGAAGACAUCACUCAGUUCCUUUGGACCUGGGUCAUGGCAGGAUGCUGCUUCAUAUUCAUCGCCCCGACAGUGCGUGUGGAUCCCACAUUUCCCUCCUUGGCACCCUCUGCUCCUUCCCUGCGCCUGUGGCUGCUCAGCAUGGGACAGCAGAGUGAAUUCUGCAAGGAUAACUGCAGAUAAUUCAUCCAACAAAUUGGAGCAAGGGGACACAUGGCAUGAGGAGGGAGGUAAUGUUUUUUUCCUGUUUUGAAGGUGUUAGGAGUACACCUGUGUUUUACAGACCG